rnacentral:piRNA from 1 species
UCCCAAUGAUCUGAUUUCCCUUUCUGCC